UGGGGAAUUUUGGACAAUGGACGAAAGCCUGAUCCAGCAAUGCCGCGUGUGUGAAGAAGGCCUUCGGGUUGUAAAGCACUUUUGUCCGGAAAGAAAUCCUUGGCUCUAAUACAGUCGGGGGAUGACGGUACCGGAAGAAUAAGCACCGGCUAACUACGUGCCAGCAGCCGCGGUAAUACGUAGGGUGCAAGCGUUAAUCGGAAUUACUGGGCGUAAAGCGUGCGCAGGCGGUUUGCUAAGACCGAUGUGAAAUCCCCGGGCUCAACCUGGGAACUGCAUUGGUGACUGGCAGGCUAGAGUAUGGCAGAGGGGGGUAGAAUUCCACGUGUAGCAGUGAAAUGCGUAGAGAUGUGGAGGAAUACCGAUGGCGAAGGCAGCCCCCUGGGCCAAUACUGACGCUCAUGCACGAAAGCGUGGGGAGCAAACAGGAUUAGAUACCCUGGUAGUCCACGCCCUAAACGAUGUCAACUAGUUGUUGGGGAUUCAUUUCCUUAGUAACGUAGCUAACGCGUGAAGUUGACCGCCUGGGGAGUACGGUCGCAAGAUUAAAACUUAAAUGAAUUGACGGGGUCAUAGCUGUUUCCU
rnacentral:rRNA from 1 species